GACGAACGCUGACGGCGUGCUUAACACAUGCAAGUCGAAGGGAGUGGCGAACGGGUGAGUAACACGUGAGUAACCUGCCCUUUUCUUUGGGAUAAGCCUGGGAAACUGGGUCUAAUACUGGAUGGAUUGGGAUGGGCUCGCGGGUUAUCAGCUUGUUGGUGGGGUGAUGGCUUACCACGGCUUUGACGGGUAGCCGGCCUGAGAGGGGGGUGGGUAACACUGGGACUGAGAGACGGCCCAGACUCCAACGGGAGUCAGCAGUGGGGGAUAUUGCACAAGGGACGAAAGUCUGAUGCAGCCAUGCCGCGUGGAUGUAGAAGGCCUUCGGGUUGUAAAGUACUUUCAGCGGGGAGGCGUUACCCGCAGAAGAAGCACCGGCUAACUCCGUGCCAGCAGCCGCGGCAAUAC
rnacentral:rRNA from 1 species